rnacentral:lncRNA from 1 species
GGAUUGGGUAAAAAAGGGUGAACCGAAGGUAUUAGAUACUCCACGUAAUUAUGAGGCCAGUCCCAAAAACGCCAAGGUUCCAAUCUCUCCCUCCACUGAACAGCUACGUUCUCAUGAUUUCCUGAAGCCCAAGAAUCUGGUUAGUACUCUUAUUUCUCUAAAAAGAAUUAGCGUUGUUAUCUAUUUUGGAGAAACACGUCGACGAUAUCUUUAUAUAAACAAAUUUGCAAAACAAAGUGUAUUUCUAGUUUCAUAUUUAAAAUUUCAGAUUUUAUUUAUAUUCCAGUUAAACUGAAAUUAUUAAGUGCUUCUAGUAGAGUUUUCCUAAAGGUACAACACUAAUUUUGUUUUUAUCUUAACUAAUUCACUUUUUAAACAAUCUCCUCCGAACAAACCUCUUGAUUUGGAUGAUAAUUGAGAAUUUAUUUUUAUUAUUUUCUGCUAGAUGAAUGGUACGUCCGUAUAUUUUUAAUUAUAUGUAAAUACAACACAUAAGAUAUAGACUGAUCAAACUAGACUAGCAAUAUCCAAAUGGUGAUUUAUUUUAAUAGGAAUUGAAAAUGAGACCACUGAUGAUGUUAAUAUUAAUUUGGACCACUAAUCCAUUUGUUGUGGUGAUAUUCAUUUAGAACAACGGACAUAUCAAAUCUUGGGUGGACGAGAAAAACAGCAAUUUCAUGCUCUCUCCAAGGAACCUCUCGAUCACUUGGUCGGAUGACCCCAAUUAUUGGACGUGGUUUCUCAACAAGGAGUCACCAAAGUAAGAUACGUUUAAUCUGAAAACGCCCACUAUAUAUAGUUCAGUCGCAUGAUCAGUGCUUUUGUUAGAAGCAAUAUUCAAGAUUAAACUCGAAUUAUUGAUUGUAUCGUAAACCCUAUGUUAUUAUUGUUAUAGACCCUUCAAGUAUGUCUACACUAUUAAGAAGACUUUUUGUUAAAACUAAGGUUUUUGUUUUACAAAAUUACCACAAAAUCAUUAUAUUACAAACAAAUCCACAAUUAUUAGGUUUAAUUAGCACAUCUACAAAGACAAGUUAAAUGAUUCCUGAACUAUCACUUUUGUGAAAAAUUUAGGAACUUUCUAAGCCUAAGGUUUGUGGUGUAUACGGAUUUCUUUACCAAUAUCGUGGUUUCUUGUAGUUAAAACUUGUAUGUAUGGUAUUUUGUUAUAUAUCUAACACAAACCGCGCGUGAUUUGUUUUCUUUAAUGAAUUUUAAAAGCGAGGUAGGUGUAGAAGCUGUGGCGUUGAAAAACGUGUGUUGGCUUGACAUCACGGGAAAAUUCGACACGAAGAAUCUCACUCCAGGGAUUACGUACGAGGUAGUCUUUAAGGUGAAGCUAGAGGAUCCGGCCUAUGGAUGGGACGCGCCGGUGAACAUUAAGUUAGUCUUGCCUAACGGUAAAGAUAAACCGCAGGAGCAAAAGGUGAGUUUAAGGGAAAUACCAAGGUAUCAAUGGGUCGAUAUUAUAGUCGGAGAGUUCAAGCCGGAGAAAAAUUCCGCGGGAGAAAUCGUUUUCUCAAUGUAUGAGCAUGAAAGUGGCGUUUGGAAGAAAGGGCUCUUCCUCAAA